rnacentral:rRNA from 1 species
CGAGCGGCGGACGGGUGAGUAAGGUAUGAGGAUCUAGCCGAAGGCGGGGGAUAACCACUGGAAACGGUGGCUAAUACCGCAUAAUCUCUAAGGAGCAAAGUGGGGGACCAUUCUGGCCUCACACCUUCGGAUGAACCCAUAUGAGAUUAGCUAGUAGGUGGGGUAAUGGCUCACCUAGGCGACGAUCUCUAGCUGGUCUGAGAGGAUGAUCAGACACACUGGGACUGAGACACGGCCCAGACUCCUACAGAAGGCAGCAGUGGGGAAUAUUGCACAAUGGGCGUAAGCCUGAUGCAGCGAUGCCGCGUGUAUGAAGAAGGCCUUCGGGUUGUAAAGUACUUUCAGUCGUGAGGAAGGUGUUAAGGUUAAUAACCUUGGCAAUUGACGUUAGCGACAGAAGAAGCACUGGCUAACUCCGUGCCAGCAGCUGCGGUAAUGCGCAGGGUACAAGCGUUAAUCGGAAUUACUGGGCGUAAAGGGCACGCAGGCGGUUAAUUAAGUUGGAUGUGAAAUCCCCGGGCUUAAUCUGGGAAUAGCAUUCAAAAGUGGUUAGCUAGAGUCUUGUAAAGAGGGGUAAAUUCCAUGUGUAGCGGUGAAAUGCGUAGAGAUGUGGAGGAAUACCGGUAGCGAAGGCGGCCCCCUGGACAAAGACUGACGCUCAUGUGCGAAAGCGUGGGGAGCAAACAGGAUUAGAUACCCUGGUAGUCCACUCUGUAAACGAUGUCGAUUUGGAGAUUGUGGUCAUGAACUGUGGCCUCCGGAGCUAACGCGUUAAAUCGACCGCCUGGGGAGUAAGGCCGCAAGGUUAAAAUCAAAUGAAUUGACGGGGGCCCGCACAAGCGGUGGAGCAUGUGGUUUAUUCGAUGCAACGCGAAGAACCUUACCUACUCUUGACAUCCAGCGAAUCCUUUAGAGAUAGAAGAGUGCCUUCGGGAGCGGUGAGACAGGUGCUGCAUAGCUGUCGUCAGCUCGUGUUGUGAAAUGUUGGUUAAGUCCCGCAACGAGCGCAACCCUUAUCCUUUGUUGCCAGCGAUUCGGUCGGGAACUCAAAGGAGACUGCCGGUGAUAAACCGGAGGAAGGUGGGGAUGACGUCAAGUCAUCAUGGCCCUUACGAGUAGGGCUACACACGUGCUACAAUGGCGUAUACAGAGAGAGGCAAGCCAGCGAAGGGAAGCAGAACUCAGAAAGUACGUCGAAGUCCGGAUUGGAGUCUGCAACUCGACUCCAUGAAGUCGGAAUCGCUAGUAAUCGCGGAUCAGCAUGUCGCGGUGAAUACGCUCCCGGGCCUUGUACACACCGCCCGUCACACCAUGGGAGUGGGUUGCAAAAGAAGUAGGUAGCUUAA